rnacentral:rRNA from 1 species
AUACGGAGGGUGCAAGCGUUAUUCAUAUUUAUUUGGCGUAAAGAGCGUGUAGGCUGCUAGUAUAGUCUAGUUUUAAAUAAUAUAGCUUAACUAUAUUGGUAACUAGAUACUAAUUAGCUUGAGUCUUAUCGAAGAUAAUAGAAUUUUUAAUUUAUAGGUGAAAUUAGUCUGAAAUUAAAAGGAAUGCCUAAGGCGAAAGCAAUUAUCAAGUUAUAGACUGACGCUGAGACGCGAAAGCAUAGGUAGCAAAUAGGAUUAGAAACCCUAGUAGUCC